rnacentral:rRNA from 1 species
AUUGAACGCUGGCGGAAUGCUUUACACAUGCAAGUCGAGCGGCAGCACGGGGGCAACCCUGGUGGCGAGCGGCGAACGGGUGAGUAAUACAUCGGAACAUGCCCAGUCGUGGGGGAUAACACUUCGAAAGAAGUGCUAAUACCGCAUACGUCCUGAGGGAGAAAGCGGGGGAUCUUCGGACCUCGCGCGAUUGGAGUGGCCGAUGUCAGAUUAGAUAGUUGGUGGGGUAGAGGCCUACCAAGGCAACGAUCUGUAGCUGGUCUGAGAGGAUGAUCAGCCACACUGGGACUGAGACACGGCCCAGACUCCUACGGGAGGCAGCAGUGGGGAAUUUUGGACAAUGGGGGCAACCCUGAUCCAGCCAUUCCGCGUGAGUGAAGAAGGCCUUCGGGUUGUAAAGCUCUUUCGGCAGGAACGAAACGGCGAGCUCUAACAUAGCUUGCUAAUGACGGUACCUGAAGAAGAAGCACCGGCUAACUACGUGCCAGCAGCCGCCGUAAUAC